UACGUAGGUGGCAAGCGUUGUCCGGAUUUACUGGGCGUAAAGAGCGCGCAGGCGGUCGUUCAAGUCGCGUGUGAAAGCCCCCGGCUCAACUGGGGAGGGUCACGCGAUACUGAUCGACUCGAAGGCAGGAGAGGGUAGUGGAAUUCCCGGUGUAGUGGUGAAAUGCGUAGAUAUCGGGAGGAACACCAGUGGCGAAGGCGACUACCUGGCCUGUUUCUUGACGCUGAGGCGCGAAAGCUAGGGGAGCAAACGGGGAUUAAGAAACCCCGAGUACGU
rnacentral:rRNA from 1 species